ACGGAAGGCAGCAGUGGGGAAUAUUGGGCAAUGGGCGCAAGCCUGACCCAGCAACGCCGCGUGAAGGAUGAAGGUCUUCGGAUUGUAAACUUCUAUAAUCGGGGAAGAAAAAAAUGACCUACCCGAAGAAUAAGCCACGGCUAAAUAUGUGCCAGCAGCCGCGGUAAUACGUAGGUGGCAAGUGUUAUCCGGAUUUACUGGGUGUAAAGGGCGUGUAGGCGGCUCCGCAAGUCAGAAGUGAAAUUCCCGGGCUCAACCUGGGCACUGCUUCUGAAACUGCAGAACUUGAGUACUGGAGGGGAAAGCGGAAUUACUAGUGUAGCGGUAAAAUGCGCAGAUAUUAGGAGGAACACCGGUGGCGAAGGCGGCUUUCUGGACAGUAAAUGACGCUGAGGCUCGAAAGCGUGGGGAGCAAACAGGAUUAGAUACCCUGGUA
rnacentral:rRNA from 1 species